AGCGUUGUUCGGAAUUACUGGGCGUAAAGCGUGCGCAGGCGGUUUCUCAAGUCAGGGGUGAAAGCCCGGAGCUCAACUCCGGAAAUGCCCUUGAAACUGUGGAGCUAGAGUACGGUAGAGGUGAGUGGAAUUCCCAGUGUAG
rnacentral:rRNA from 1 species